AUUGAACGCUAGCGGGAUGCCUUACACAUGCAAGUCGAACGGAGUGGCGAACGGGUGAGUAAUGUAUCGGAACGUGCCCAGUAGCGGGGGAUAAAUACGCGAAAGAGUAGCUAAUACCGCAUACUAUUGGAGCGGUCGAUAUCGGAUUAGCUAGUUGGGUGGGGAACGGCUCACCCAGGCGACGAUCCGUAGCUGUUUUGAGAGGACGACCAGCCACACUGGGACUGAGACACGGCCCGGAAUCCGACGGGAGGCAGCAGUGGGGAAGUGUGGACGAUGGGGGAAACCCUGAUCCAGCCAACCCGCGUGUGCGAUGAAGGCCUUCGGGUUGUAAAGCACUUUUGGCAGGAAAGCGGUACCUGCAGAAUAAGCACCGGCUAACUACGUGCCAGCAGCCGCGGUAAUUC
rnacentral:rRNA from 1 species